rnacentral:rRNA from 1 species
AUUGAACGCUGGCGGCAUGCCUUACACAUGCAAGUCGAACGGUAACAGGUCUUCGGAUGCUGACGAGUGGCGAACGGGUGAGUAAUACAUCGGAACGUGCCCGAGAGUGGGGGAUAACGAGGCGAAAGCUUUGCUAAUACCGCAUACGAUCUCAGGAUGAAAGCAGGGGACCGCAAGGCCUUGCGCUCACGGAGCGGCCGAUGGCAGCUUAGGUAGUUGGUGGGAUAAAAGCUUACCAAGCCGACGACCUGUAGCUGGUCUGAGAGGACGACCGGCCACACUGGGACUGAGACACGGCCCAGAAUCGUACGGGAGGCAGCAGUGGGGAAUUUUGGACAUGGGCGCAAGCCUGAUCCAGCCAUGCCGCGUGCAGGAUGAAGGCCUUCGGGUUGUAAACUGCUUUUGUACGGAACGAAAAGACUCUGGUUAAUACCUGGGGUCCAUGACGGUACCGUAAGAAUAAGCACCGGCUAACUACGUGCCAGCAGCCGCCGUAAAAC